rnacentral:rRNA from 1 species
GCUUACGACCACACCGGCCUGAGUACGCCUGAUCUCGUCUGAUCUCGGAGCUAAGCAGGGUCGGGCCUGGUUAGUACUGGAUGGGAGACCGCCUGGGAUACCAGGUGCUGUAAGCU